rnacentral:ncRNA from 2 species
ACAGGGCGAAAGCCGCGAUGCUCACACCACACAGGCCGCUUCGCGCAGCAUUCUCUGUGAGCGGGCUAAGGUCUGAGAAUUCUAGUCUCCCUCGAUGAGCUCUAGCUGGGCUCGGUCUUGACGGACCGCAGCGGCGUACCAGACAACAACCGAAGACUGCAUCGACGAGCUGGCGCUCACGCUCACACGGAGUCACUCGUCGAUCCUGAAGACUCUAGUAUAGACGAGGGAGCAGUGGAUCACGCUGACAAGUGUGGGGGGUUUGGAAUGGUCGCGGGGACUGGGCGGGUUGCUCUGCGGAGUGGUGUG